AACGAACGCUGGCGGCAUGCCUAACACAUGCAAGUCGAACGAGAUCUUCGGGUCUAGUGGCGCACGGGUGCGUAACGCGUGGGAAUCUGCCCUUUGGUUCGGAAUAACAGUUGGAGACGACUGCUAAUACCGGAUGAUGACGAAAGUCCAAAGAUUUAUCGCCAGAGGAUGAGCCCGCGUAGGAUUAGCUAGUUGGUGUGGUAAAGGCGCACCAAGGCGACGAUCCUUAGCUGUCUGAGAGGAUGAUCAGCCACACUGGGACUGAGACACGGCCCAGACUCCUACGGGAGGAAGCAGUGGGGAAUAUUGGACAAUGGGCGAAAGCCUGAUCCAGCAAUGCCGCGUGAGUGAUGAAGGCCUUAGGGUUGUAAAGCUCUUUUACCCGGGAUGAUAAUGACAGUACCGGGAGAAUAAGCUCCGGCUAACUCCGUGCCAGCCGCCGCCGUAA
rnacentral:rRNA from 1 species